rnacentral:rRNA from 1 species
GACGGGGGGGCAAGUGUUCUUCGGAAUGACUGGGCGUAAAUGGCACGUAGGCGGUGAAUCGGGUUGAAAGUGAAAGUCGCCAAAAAGUGGCGGAAUGCUCUCGAAACCAAUUCACUUGAGUGAGACAGAGGAGAGUGGAAUUUCGUGUGUAGGGGUGAAAUCCGUAGAUCUACGAAGGAACGCCAAAAGCGAAGACAGCUCUCUGGGUCCCUACCGACGCUGGGGUGCGAAAGCAUGGGGAGCGAACAGG